CAUCUAUUAAUCCACCAUCUUCUCCCCUUCUUUGACCAACUUCUCAAAAAUAACACUCAAUACUGAAGGCAUCUCCUUCUAUUCAUGUUCUUAGACAGUAAGACGUUCUGUUCUUAAACAGUAAGAUGUUUUCUCAAGCCCCAUGCAAAGCACUUACUUGAUUAUCACUUUGGAGAUACCCAACUCUGGAGUCUUCAUCCGAAGGGUAAAGUUCCACACCCAGUAAUGCGCCUCCUGGGAAACAGGCCUAAAUACUCUUCAUCUGAGGGGUAAAGUUCCGCACCCAGUAAUGCGCGUCCUGGGAAACAGGCCUAAGCAGUGCUGGCCCCUUCCUCGUCCAGACUGGCAUUGUCUGUGUUCGCCAGCC
rnacentral:lncRNA from 1 species